CGAGCCCAUGCUCGGGCCUGGGCACCCUGAACUCCGGCCUCUGACCUCCCCACGCCUUCUGGCUCCCUUCUCCAGGGAACUGGGCUCCUCCAGACCCGCUCAGCCUGUCCUGCCUGGCCGCAGAUCCGCCGCUCGCAGCCCUGGAGAUGCUUCAUGCGCUGUCAACAAACGGCACGUGUGGGCCCUUGCCAGCCUGGAACGCGCAGCAGUAGCACCGCUGGAUAAGCUCUCAGAAGUCCUGCCGUGGUUUUUAAGCAAGGCCAAGCUGCCUGCUGUGAUUUUAGGGCCCUGCUCCCUGUCCUGAGUGGUGCCAGCAGCUCGUGGAUCCCAAGAGCUGUCCCCUGGGAUGUUCUCCCUUGAGCUCCGAGCAGCAGCCGUCGACCUGGCCAGGCCCAGCGGGGUUUAUUUCGGAAUUGCCGGGAAGGAGCUCCUGUUGGUGGAGCUCUCCUCGGGCAGAUGAGUGACACGGUGAUGAACGGGAGGGUGCCCCUGCCCGAGAAAGCCUUGUCCGAGGGCUACGCCCGCCUGAGGUACAGGGACACCUCUCUGCUCAUCUGGCAGCAGCAGCAGCAGAAACUGGAGUCGGCUCCCCCCAACACCUACCUGAGCCGCAGCAGGAGCAUGUGGUACUCGCAGUACGGCAACGAAGCCAUCCUGGUGCGGGACAAAAACAAGCUGGAUGUCUCCAGGGACACGGGGCAGUCCAAGUUUUGUGCUAUUAUGUAAUUCCCCACAGGAAUUCACGCGUGGAGAGGAAGCAGAGCUGGGGGAGGUGGGUGUGCACCACCCUCUCCCAGCCCUUCACAGGAAGCAGCGUUCCCAGGAGAGGCUGGGAGAGGCUGAAGUUUGAUUGUUUCUGUUUGAUUUUGCUGCUUAUGGACUCCCAUUCUGCAUGGCACUGAGUGUGUACAACAAACCUCUUGCUGGGGAGCUCUCAAGCCUGUUGCUGCCCAGCAUCCUGGCAGGGGCUGUGCUGGACCAUGUGUUGCUUGUAAGUGGCUCGUGUGCCCUGAGAAACACCCACCGACACUUGGGCACCGGCCCCAGCCACCCUUCCUGGCCAGUCCUGGUGCAUUUCCAGAGCUCUGGGAAUGCUGGUGGGACAGAGGCAAGUACAGAUCUCUUCCCAUCAAGGCUGUGGUUUUAAGAAGUUUAUCUCCAAAACCAUCUGGCCGUUCUUGUUCUGUUUGCCCUGUCUUCCUUUGAUUGCUGCUCUGAUGUCGUCUCUUCCAGCUAGGGAAUGGAGAGGUUUAUUGUGGGAACAGGGAGAGAAUGUGUUGAGAAUUUAAUCUCAGCCUUCAAAACACCUGGUAGGAAAGGUGUGCUGGAGUUUCACACAAAGCAAAGGGCCUUCUCUGACCCCACAGUGCAGGAUCAUGGAAAUAACGGGAGUUGUGGAGCCAGGGGAGCUGACUCCUUUCAGGCAGAUCCCUGGCCCAGCUUCAGGAACAGAUCCUCCAGUGAAGCACCUGAAAGGGAGGGACAGGCCCAGGAAAGCAACAGCAAGAAACCCCUGUAAAUACAGACAUAUCCUAAAGGGCACAAGGAAACUCCUACACAGCACAGACCCGCUCCUGAGACGGGGUACAGAAGGAGAGAGGCCACUGGAGUUUGCUUUGCCUUCAAGUUUUAAUGCAUGCAGUAGCUUGGAAGGGUUUGACUUCUAGUUCAGGUUGGAUUGUAGGUUUGGUGCAUGUAUUUUAGAAGUUGUGUCUGGGAUUGUUUUGAUUGACUGGAGGAUUUUAGGAGGGAAAAACAUGGCCUUGCUUGGGCAUAGAGGCUGCUGCUUUCAGGUUUAAGUUUCUGCUGAAUCCUGACUUGCUCAAGGCAAAAUCACAUUGAGAAACUCAGCCCAGCAAGCACCUGAAUCUUUGUUAAAAACAAAACUAUCACUUCCAGGGGUGCAAAUGAUGUGCCCAGGGUUCAGCAUCGAAGUUCUUCUUCAGGGUUCUGCCCUUUCUGUCCUGCCUAGGCCAUGUGUCCAACCCAGCAGUGCCUGGGCACAGGCUUAGCUCCAGGCAAAUCAGUAUUUGAUGUCAGCUUCAGGAUGGAUUAUUUACCUGCCUAUUAUUAGGCACAGUCAUUACUUCUGUUCUAUUUAUCUAAAAGCUCCCUUGCAUUUUUUUCAAGCACUUUACUUAUUUAAUUUUUUUUUUUAAAAUACAUUGAAAAAUCUCUUCCUCCUCUCCCGUGUGGGUGAAAUGCUACAAUGAACACACAGACACUCAACCUUGCUGAACUCAUUGUAGUGAGCAGAACACACCUAUUCUAGAGUGAAAUCAUAGAGGUUUGGUGUACUCAGCCCUGCUCCAUAGCACUGCAAACAAUAGGCAGCUCGUUGUUUUUUAAAAGCACUAUUUCUGCAUGUGUUGGUGUUUGAUACCUUGUGUGUGUGCUCAUAGAUUUAAACCUGCUGGACCUCGCUGCUUUGCACUGCUCUGCACACAAAUAACCCUCUUGGUUUUGUCAGGACCAGCUCUGGAGGAGAAACAAUUCAGUGAAUAAAUGUUUUUCAGCCGGGUGAAAGCGUUCAAUGAGAUUCACAAACCCAGCGAGGCUCGGGAAGGUGCCGGGGGAGCAUUGCCAGGGAUGUGUGACCCACCUGGGCCUCCAGGUCUUGGCUGAGUGAACAGAUUAUUUGUUCAAACAGGCAGGAGGCUGUGCCCAGAGCUCCCCUGGGAACUGCAGGUGGAUACACCUGGAGAAGCAGGAGAGGUGGGUUCCAGGCCAGCCCUGGGGAGCACGUGAACUCUGGGAGUUUAAGGAACAGCACAUCCCCAAACCAGCUGUUCGUUUUCUUUUCUUAUAGAAAAAAGAAAUCCAACACUUAUUUUCUUUUGAAUUUCAGUAAGGAAGAUGCUUAUUUUGGGUAUAAUCAGUCUCUUUUUGUUAACGUGGCUGGUAAACCAAAAUUCAGUUAUUUUGCAGAGUGUUAAUUGGACUAUACGAGACUAAACCCGUAAGAAUGUGCAUAAAUUCUUUCAGGAUGGAGGCUGGAUGUGACAGUGCAGGAAGAAGAGGAUGAGUUGUCCUUCCAUCUCUGUGAAUGUGACUGUAGUUUUCCAUUUCUGUAUGUCACUGGUCACAGCAGGGUUGUGGAGUGGCUGCUGUGGCUGUGAGCCAGCUGUGUGAUGCACUUGUUUAAACACUGUUGUAGCCUCUUUGAUAAAGUGCAUUAAAAUGAUUUGAAUGCA